UGCCCGAAGGGUGACGAAGCGACGCCGCGUGAGCGAAGAAGGCCCUAGGGUUGUAAAGCUCUGUCGGGGGUUAUGAAAUGCAGGUUGGUUAAUACCCAACCUGUUUGACAAAGGCCCCAAAGGAAGCCACGGCUAACUCUGUGCCAGCAGCCGCGGUAAUACAGAGGUGGCAAGCAUUGUUCGGUAUUAUUGGGCGUAAAGAGCACGUAGGUGGUUUUGUAAGUCAGAUGUGAAAGCCUUCUGUUCAAAGGAAGAACGGCAUCUGAAACUGCAGAUCUUGAGUGUAGGAGGGGAGAGUGGAACUUCUGGUGGAGCGGUGAAAUGCGUAGAUAUCAGAAGGAACGUCGGCGGCGAAAGCGACUCUCUGGCCUAUUACUGACACUGAGUGUGCGAAAGUUAGGGGAGCAAACGGGAUUAGAUACCCCGGUAGUCCUAACUGUAAACGAUGGGCACUAAGUAGAGGGG
rnacentral:rRNA from 1 species